AGGAUCAUUUUUGUAGUAAAUGAUCAAUGAACAUCAGCUAAUUGAUGAAUCGAUUCAGCCAUGAUGACGAGUCAUGGCACCCUUUCCUGAGCGUGAGGAAGACUCGAGAAGUUGACUUUGUCUCACUUUCUCAGUCAUCGAUGAUCGUUCACCCCAUGCACUUAGUACAUGGGGGAUGGAAAGGGUGCUUUCUGAGUGGUUUUGUUAUCAAAAUAUUAAACUUAAAUUACUUUAUAAAAGGGAGUAGGAAGUUCAAGUAAAAUAGAUUGAAAAUAAAUUAAUUAUAAAUUUUAAAAGACUUGAAAAGUUAUCUUUGAUCCGGAUUGAAAAUUCACAACUUAUCAGUUCGACAGGAAAACAUAUGGUAAUUUAGCCUUCUUCUCUAUUGAAAUUAUAAACAACAAAGGGAUAAUCUAUGAUAUUAUUUAUAACAAAUAAUAGGUUUUGAAACGUUAAUAUUGGGAAGUGAGAACGAAUGAAUUAGUAAAAUUGGCUGGCACAAGUGAAAAGUUGUAUAAUUUAAAAAUAAGAUUCUACGGGAGCUAUCGUGGAAACGAUGAUUGGUUAAUUUUAAAAUGAUCGCAGAAAGUUCUUUAAUUAAUGCUGGGACACUUCUCGCCGUGGAAGCAGCGAACUUCCGCUAGCCAAACUUUCCAGCAUCCUUCCAAUUAGUUGCAAAGUAGAGAAAACAUGUAAACCGUUCGGAUGAGGAUAUCACUUGCAUCAAAGAAGAAGGAAAAAUAAUGAUCUUCAAAUAUUUUCCUCGGAAAAAUCUAUUAUAAAUUUAUGAAUAUACAAUAAAUAAUAAUAAUGAAUAUUAAUUUUACAAUAUAAUAAUAAAAUAAUUAUACAAUUUUAUUUCCUAUUCAAAUUUUAUAAGGUAGAAAUCAUGCAAUUUUCAUUUUUGUUAUUUUAUCGAAUAAACUUUGUUUCAAUAGUUGAUUGCAAUCCAGUCUUAUAGACGUUAAGCUGAAAAGCUAACAAUAAAAAUACGAAAAGAAGGGAUGGAUAAAGGAUUGAAGAGAAAAAUAAAAUGGUAGAAAAGAAUCGAAAGAAGGCAAAUAGAAACAAGACUGUUCGAAUAUAGUAACGUUGAACUGGAAAGAAGCACAAAAAUCAGAAACCUGUAAUAAGAUGGAGAAACAAACGCAAGUAAAGAUUCGACAAACAUUGCCGUUAGCAACGCUUGAUAAAACAACGCCGAAAAACAAAUGAGUAAAACGGAUGUAAAAUAAAUAAAGAAGAAACUGUGACAGUUUCAGUGAAUAAAUCUCAAAGAAAAGUAAAAGGUCUGAACAAAAAGGAAUAGAACAGAAGAUAUGUUUUAUAUUAAGGACAAGUAAUUAAUCGUUAUUUUUAGAUUUAUGAUAGGAAAAAAGAUCAGAACCGGAGGAACAAUUUUUCCACCUUUCAAUUAAUUGCUUAUUUUAUUCAAUCUUUUUUUUCUAAUUACACGCUGAAUUUUUGUACUUCUUGAAUUUGAUUUGCUAGAAUAUCUUUUUCCGAUUUGAAAACAAUUUUAUAACAAAUUGCAAUUGACGUCAAUUUAUAAGUUAUUUCUAUUAAAAAAUAUAUUUUCUAAGACAUCUAGCUUGUAAAAUUUUGCGCUAAAAAAUGCACAGUAAUUUAUUUUAACAAGUCUUCUGAUUUUCGUUUCUGUGACUGAUCUAGCUUUUCAAAUAAUAAUCAGGACAACAAAUAUAACCAAAAUGACAAUUAAUUAUUAUGUCAUAUCACAAAUUGGAUCGAUUUAACUGGUCCGGAAUAAAGGACAUAACGUCUAUGAAUAUAAUUGGCUGCGACCACCAAUUGAUUAACGACACGUCUAUUUGUUUAAUAGAUAUUGCGGUUAUCUCUGCGAAUAUUAUUGAACUCGAAUGUAACGAGACAACAACGAUGAAACUUGAAUGAUUAAUUAACACGUGAUCAACUUUUUGACACGUUUCAAUAUUGGAUGCCAUUUAGUGAAAUGUAUUUUACUGUAAAGUAAUUAAAAUAUACGUUUCAUGUCUGGAUAUCAAUGAAAUAUUUCAAUUUAUUAAGAUCUGAAAUUGUACACAUACCUACAGUAUGUACAUGUGUAUGGCUCCACUUUUUAUUUAGAAAAUAUUUAAAAUCAAAUUACAAACAUACUUAAAAUUUAAUGUCAAAUACAUCACAAAUAUGGUUUAAUUAUAAAUGUACUUCAAAUUAAAUUACAAAUUACUACACUAUAGUUAUUACAUCAAUUUUCAAAAUCAAAUAGCUGCACUUUUAACAUUUUGCCAAUUUCUCAAUUACCACUCCAAUUAUUGCUAUAUAAAAAUCUACUCUCCAAUCAAAUAGGUUCCAAGAAAAUCCGCAUCAGUCUUCCAAACAGAAACACUACCCUGCAUUUUCAUCCCCUUUUAUAAAAUCUCAGAAAAGUCCCCAAAUUGCUGAACCACCUACGAAAUAAUGAAAAUCCAGCCUCACCAAACAAACAGCCGAAACACUGCAAAACAAACGACAAAUAGAAGGUGCGAAACGAGUUGCAGAGUAACAAAAAGCAGUCGAAAAAGAGGGCAAAAAGAUAGAAAGCCGAAAGGCAAUGGGAACAAGGGGUGCGUACACAAUGGUGGAAAGUGGAUGCUUGUAAGUGUAAUGUAUGUUCGCAUUGUUUACCGGCGUCUUGGCACGUCGCUGUGGGCCAUUGCACGCGGCCAAACAAGCGGCACACGUGUCCACCCACUGGUGCGUGCGGGUUACUCAGCGACGCCCACGCGUCCACCCGCGUCCACUCGCGUUUCGACGCCGAACAGCGAAAACACCAGCGACGAAACCGUUCGCUGAACCACUGGCACUGUCGUUCGACUAAUUCGCCGUUGUGUCAUGCAAAUGCCACUGACGAAAGAACCGGGCCACCGUGACCGGAUCGCUCGAGCAUUGUUAUCAUUGCCGUCAUGGAUAGACGAGUAAAUUGAACGUUGGUGCUCCGUGUAUCGAGCAAAUUCGGCAGGGUUAUUCGAAAAAGAUAAUACGAAUAGUAUUAAUAGCAGAACACGAGAAAUCUCUAUAAUCUUAAUACAGUAAUGUAUAAGUAACUAGAAUUUGAAUUAUAUCGUGACAAUAAGAUACCUACGGGUAUACGUAAUAUGCAAUUGUGUGGUAAUAUUAAUUGAAAGUGACACUAACGUUGACAAAAGUGUUGACGUGUUUUUGAUAAUUGCAAGGAAAAAAGAACUGAUAAGUGAAAAUUGAAUUAGGUGUUAUCUGUGGGUAGGAGCUGCCUUAGACUGGAAAUAUGGUCGAAAAAAUGAGAAAAAAGAGAAAUUAGUAUCAGAACUAUAGAAUCUGGAAUAAUUAAUUGAUUCAUAUUUUAUUAUAUACUAAUGUCGUAGUAGUAAAUAAUUGUGGUAUAUUCAAGAAUUACUAUACGCGUGUAUAUUCAUAACUAUUUAAAAAAGAUGAUGUAGGGCAGAGAAGUAAUUAUCAAAUAAUAGAACGGCUUCUAUAGAAUAGUUCUUGAGCCAACAAGAAAAAGAAUAUCUUCAAAGAAAUUUCUUUGGCGGAUUUCUUUUCUUUUUUACUCUAAAGUACAACACUCUAAAAGUUGCGUUUCCAGGACGCAAUAAAAUCUAAAUCCGAACGAGAAUUCGUUAUACGCAGUUCAAUGAAAUUCUCCGUCCGAAGUUUCAACAAAUUCCAUCGUGUCAGAGUAUCUGAUGAAUUGUUUAUUCCAAUUUCGUUCGACGCGUGGAAUACAACGGAAAGUAGCCGGGUACGAUCGUUGAACUUUCGUUGUUUUGAGAGCACGUUACGCGGAUGAUGGAAACAGGAACUUUCUGUAGAAAUUUUUUUUUCCGUCUAGGCAACUGUCAGCGACAAGAGCUGCAACUGUUAAUUAAUUGUUGAAUCGUAGCUAGUGGCCGGUCCUAGUAGCUAGUGGCAGAUUCAAUCCUUUAAUUAAAAUGCAAUCACGUCGACUCCUGCAACUUUGCCACGAUGUUUUCAUCCCUAUGUCUGCAGUUACGGGUUAAGAGUUACCAUGCGUUUUGAGAUCAACGUAUACUGAAAGAAAAAAAGCUAACAACGGGAGCGAUAUAAUCUUCUAUAUCAUCUUCUAUGAUUUCUGAAAGUAGGAAAGAUAGCUAUUCAUUUUUCAGCCCAAUGACCUUAGUACUUUUUUUGUAGAGAACUAAAAAAUGUACUGAAUGGUGUGGAAAAAAUGUAUGGUUCCAUUUAAGAAACGCUAUUCAAUUACCUUGUAUAUUAUCUGUGAUUUUACUACAAUAUCUUUCUAUAGUUACAUAACGCAUAAAAUCAUUCGACACUAGUUCAAGAUCCUCCUCAUAGGUGGCCAAGCAGUUAAACGAGUUCCCGCAGUAGAAAAAGUACACAGGCCAUUAGAAAUAGGCAUCGUCGUCGCUGUGAAGUUUAGAAUCAUACUUUUCAGGAUCAUUUUUGUAGUAAAUGAUCAAUGAACAUCAGCUAAUUGAUGAAUCGAUUCAGCCAUGAUGACGAGUCAUGGCACCCUUUCCUGAGCGUGAGGAAGACUCGAGAAGUUGACUUUGUCUCACUUUCUCAGUCAUCGAUGAUCGUUCACCCCAUGCACUUAGUACAUGGGGGAUGGAAAGGGUGCUUUCUGAGUGGUUGUUUAUA